rnacentral:lncRNA from 1 species
CAAAGAGGUACACACAGUCCAAGGCCAUGGGUAAGAAGAGAGAAAGCAGAUUGUCCUGAGCCCCAAGUGUCUGUGAUUCUCUUAGCUAAGUAAGGAAUCAGUGCCAGAGACAGAGGUUGCUGGAGCUGAGAGGAGACGUAGUCAAGAAGAUUGGAGAAGGCUCUGCGGAGAAGGUGAACUUGAGCUAAGACUUGAAGGGAGGGCAGGCUUGAAGGGAUGAAACAGCCUCCUCUGUGCUAAAGAGAGGAGUGACAGGGCCAUCAUCAGGCAAAGGGGACAUUACCAGGCAAAGGGACACCAUUGGUCAAAGGCGAUGGUGGAGACAAGACAUUCUGGAAGAGCCCGGAUCAGAGAGAUUUGGGGCCAGGAGCCGGCAUCAGGGGACCGGCUCCCUAAGGAACCAUGGCACCACUGGCUCUCAGCUGGAAAUAAGCAGCAGAUGAAGCACAUGCAUCCUGAGUUUUGGCUCUGGUGAUGGUGGUGGAGCUGUUAAUUCUUGGAGUCCAAAUUCCUGCACCACCUCUGAGUUCCGAGGGGGUGGGGAAGAGCAAGUGAUGGCUGGACAGCAAAGAGGAGUGGAGGCCGGGAGAAUGGGCAGCUAGCCCAGCGCUCUCCAAUAUCUGGGAGUCGACCGCACUCCUGCACUCCCUGUCAUCCCUGCUAAUGGUAUUACCAUUGCUCCAAUCUUACAGAUGAGGAAACUCAGGCAUGGAGAGGUUGAGCGACUUGCCCAAAUUCAUGCAGUUAGGACCUGGCAGAGCUGCGCUUUGAACCCAGGCUGCCUGGCUCUAGAGUGUGUGCACGAAACUUCACUGCCAUAUGAACAAAACUGCAGGACAUAUGUUCUCAAAGCAAAUAAGCCUCCCAGAGAGGCUUUUCCUGAUGGCUUCAAGGACCUGCCCUAGCCUGGUCUGACUUCCCAGAGGGGAUCCAGUCCCAACAUUGGCCCUAUCUUUAGACCACAUUUCCAUCCCAUUCUCAGUGAAAACCCUGAGUCAUGACAGAAGACAACCAAUGCUGGAGAGAGGAGGUUUCAGAUCCCUGGAAAUGUGGGUGCAUAUGAGGCUCCCUCUGCCUCCUCCCACAGCCAUAUGAGCUGCCGCCUCCUAGGAGAACCUGGCAGGGCUGGCAGCACCCCCAGCUCCCCAGUUCAGCCCAGAAGGGGGCUGCCUGGACUCCAAGAUUUCUCCCUUCACCCGCGGCUGCCUCCUGCCCCCAUGACUACAGUGUGAUGCUGUCUGGGAAGCUGAAUGUCAUCUUCCCUGGGCUUACCUGCCAGGCUCCUCUCAUCCACAUCUUCCAGCCUCUAGCCACAUGGACCCCUCCGGAAAGCAUGUGUGUGUGGGGGGUAUGUGUGAACAUUUUUCAUGCUUGAUGUGAGCCGGAAGAAAAAUGAGCUUCUCUAUUUGAUAAGUGUGGACCUGCCCACAGCACUAAAUUUGGUUCUGCCGUCACCGGCGCCAUGAAGCAGCAGCCUGGUUUAGAGGCUUGCCUUUGGUUUCAAAUAAUUUCUCCAGGCUCAUGUUACAUAUGACCCAUUCACAGAGGCUGGAGGGCAUGGCUUCUCCAGUCCUUAGCACUAAAGACGUGUCUUUUGGCUCCUGCACGACUAGCACAGGCAGUAGAACCAGAUGGGGGAUGCUCUGAGGUUGCAGAGGCAGGAAGGCAAGCGGGAGAGAGCUUGGGCCUGGACAGAGGGAUGAGCUGGCUCCCUCCCCAGCUGUGAAAUCUCUGAGUCUCAGUUUGCUUCUCUGCAAAAUGAGGAUAAUAAUCCCCACCUCGGGACUGAGGAUUAACGAGGCAAUGGUUUUAGCAGAAUAAUCCACUGCUGCUAUUAUUAUCAGCAUCUUCGUAUAGCAAAACUCAUUUGGACCAAUGGGGAGUGCGUUAAGUUGGUCUGAAGUAGGGCAAAGGAACGAUUAUAGAAUGUUUCAAAGGAAAUGUGUUUUUUAUUAUUUCCAUGUAUAUAGAGUACUGGAACUGAGUGCUAGGAGGUGGAGAACUGACUUGAUUUAAAUAAGGAGAGCUCAUUUGACAUUGGCCUGUUUGAUUUCUCAACAUCCAACUGUGUUAAUAAAGAGGGUUUUGAGCUAUCUAUGUGCCCAGCUCUGUGACUGGAGAAGGAAAGUCACAUAAGACACAGUCCUUGCCCUCACAGGACGUGCAACCUGUGGGCAGAUGAGUCCUACACAGGAAGCGGGGGCAAGAAGGAAACUGUGAGGCACUGGGGAGCACGGCGCUGCCACAGGUGAGAGGAAACGCGUAGCCUCUGGACCUUGAGUGCCAAGGCUGGGGAAAGCUUCGGGGAAGAUGGACACUGAGGAAGGUCAGGUCAAUUUAAAUAGGGGGUGGGGCAGGGAGAGAGGGGCAAGGCUGCCAUGGGUGAGCAAGGGGCAGAAAGAGCACGGCAUCUAUGAAGGAGCCACAGGGCAGGCUGGCAGGAGGCGGGACUGGGCAGGGAGGUGAGCCAAGGUGUGGGGACCCGGGCAGGCAGCUCGAGGCCAGCUUGGCUUAGCAGGCGAUGCCCAUGGCAGGACCACACUUGGAGAGGGCCAGGGCAGGUGACGGGGUUGCUCUGGGAGGAAUUUGGCAAUGGCAUGCAAAACGGAUUGGAUAUGAAUUUUGGAAUUGAAACAGGGAACAACUCAUUAUUGUUUCCAUAAGGAUCCGAGGGUGAGAUGAUAAGGUCUAAAAUCAUUUUAUCGCUGGUGAGAGUGUGACUGGAAACAGAGGGGCAAACUGAGGCAAUGCCUGGAAGAAACUGGCGGGUCUGUUCCAGGAUGUGGAGGGAGAAGAGCUUAAGGCUCCAUGGCUUGCCACAUUCGGGACUGGAAGAUGGCAAAUUCCAGUGACCGAAGUGCACAGACCAGGUGGUAAUGGGGGCAGCAUUUUACUAAAACGCAAGGCUAUGGGGCCACUGGACACCCAGGACUGGCACUCAAACCUGGCCACGCUGGAGAAGAGAUGGGCCAUUGUCAGGGUGGGGGUUAUGCAUACACCCUGAAAUACCUCCCACCAUCCACGCUCCGGAGAAACCCUCCAUUUACAGGGUGAAGGCAAACUGACUUUAGCCCCGCUCUGGCUCAAUUCAAAUGCCAGGUGCAAGCAGUUCAAUUAACGCGCCUGCCCCGUGCCUUUGACACCAAACAGAUGUCAGAAUAUUACACCAUCCAAGUCAAUGCCUGGCUUUAAUUUAAUCACUCAUGCCUUAAUCGAUUCCUGUCACAUGCUAAACACUGUGAGUGGUGGGGAGAGGCUGCUCCUAGGCAUAAUUAGAAUAUGAGAUUCUGUACCAAGUCCCUGUCUGGUUAGGAAAAAACUGAAAACUCCAGAAAAAACAGAAAAGCUCCCAGGAAAUUCCAUCCAAGGGUCGUGACUUGAGCCCAGAAGGAAGUCCCAGCCCUUCCCCAGAGAAGUCAGCACUGGCAGGGGCUGGAAAUCACUUGAGGUCAUGCUCAAGGCACCCCCACCCACUGUCUUGCACCCUGGUUUGGGGCUCCUUCCUUCCAAAGAAGGGGACAGACAAGAUCAGUGCAGGCUGGGCUGUGGCCACCCAUGCAUCCCUCCUGGGCACGGACCCUGCUGGCUCAGCCCUCACCCCUAGGAACCAGCUGCACCGUCUGACUGACGCUAAGGGAGCCAGGUGGCAGCAGCUAUACUAUUUCAGGUCAGGCUAAAGUCAGCCCACCAAAGACUUCAGAUCAGCACCUGACUGCGGCUCCUGGGAGGCAUCCCCCAGCCCUGCAGCACUUCUGAGAAGCUCAAAGGAAUUCUCUUAAGUUGUUUUAUUUCAGUUCUAUGACUAUGCGAACAGAAGAGAGACCACAUUAUCAUCCAUUCUGAGGGGGAAGACAGUAUAAUCUCCAUUUCUCAGAUGGAAAUAUGGAGGCAUGGGAAAUCUUAAUCUUGGCCAAAAAUCUCUUAGUUGACAAAUGAAUUCAGGGCUUGGCAACCCUAAGCAGCCAGUGAUAACAGGGGCCCACAAAUGAGGGAGUAGCUUGCUUCUGGAAUUCAGUCUUACUGGUAACAAACGAUAAGAUCUUUUUAAAAGUCUUUUUAUUUUUAUUUUUUUUAACUUGGCCCAGAUUGUCAACUUAUGAAUCCUACUGAUUAAAAAUUUUUUCUUGCAUUUCUCAUCAGCCAUCGAACAUUGGUUCAUGAUUAUUUAUAGCACUUAAUGACAUUGAAAGGGAUUUAUUUCAAUUUAUUCAGUCUUUAUUAACACUCCACAGGGAACAGAGUGCAGCCGCCACUGGCCUUUUCUCAGGCACAGUUGAGAUGCUAAGAAGGGAGGAACUUCACCACUAAAGGAAGAACUGAACCCGGUGGAGAGAAGCCCAGGAGGCAAGUUAUCCCUAUAGGAUUAUCCAGGAAAAAUAUUAAAUAGGUUUUAAUAAGGUUCAGGUGAGUUUAUGAAUGAUCACUUCAUUAUUCAAGCGGAUUUAGGGAUGUUCUGCAAAAUCCUCCGUUUCUAAGCUGGCCUCAUGGGGACCAGCAGCAGAGGCAGAGGCUGAGCCGCUGCACUGGGGAUUGGGGCCAGCGUGGAAUUUCCCCUGCUCAUAGGGAAAAGACAAGACAGAAAACGGAUGGUGGGAGGGCUGAUGACUCUUCCAAAUGGCUAUUCCUGAUGUUUCCUGGCAAUGAGCAGCUAUGAAAGGGACAGGUUCACAUGCGACUACACCAUGACUUUUGCUGUGCCCCAGUGUAACAGGAGGUUAUAGACAACAGUUUUAUUUGCAUAUAUAACCUUUGCUUGGCUUAUUAACAUAUUGCUGAUUUAAAUUCUGAUACAUUGUCAAAGUAGAAAGCUGUUCGGGUUUUUGGCAAGCCCAGUAUAAAAAAUGCAGGCAUGCAACAAAUAGGUAGUGAAUAUUCACAUUUAAAUACAUGUAAAUAUAAAUAGAAUUAAAAAAAAAAAGUUUAGAGACAGGGCCUUGCUGUGUUACCCAGGCUGGAGUGCUAUGGGACAAUCAUAGCUCACUGUAGCCUUGAACUCCUGGGCUCAAGCGAUCCUCCUGCUUCGGCCUCCCAAGUAGCUAGGGCUACAGACACAUGCCAUCAUGCCCAGCUAAUUUUUACAGUUUCCUUUUGUAGAGACAGGAUCUUGUUUUGUUGCCCAGGCUAGUCUCAGACUCCUGGCUUCAAGUGAUCCUCCCACAGUGCUGGGAUUACAAGUGUGAGCCACCGAGCCUGGCCU